rnacentral:rRNA from 1 species
GGGGAAUAUUGGACAAUGGGGGGAACCCUGAUCCAGCCAUGCCGCGUGUGUGAAGAAGGCCUUUUGGUUGUAAAGCACUUUAAGCGAGGAGGAGGCUACCGAGACUAAUACUCUUGGAUAGUGGACGUUACUCGCAGAAUAAGCACCGGCUAACUCUGUGCCAGCAGCCGCGGUAAUACAGAGGGUGCGAGCGUUAAUCGGAUUUACUGGGCGUAAAGCGUGCGUAGGCGGCUUUUUAAGUCGGAUGUGAAAUCCCUGAGCUUAACUUAGGAAUUGCAUUCGAUACUGGGAGGCUAGAGUAUGGGAGAGGAUGGUAGAAUUCCAGGUGUAGCGGUGAAAUGCGUAGAGAUCUGGAGGAAUACCGAUGGCGAAGGCAGCCAUCUGGCCUAAUACUGACGCUGAGGUACGAAAGCAUGGGGAGCAAAC